AUAAAAAACCAAUGCCCUUCGGGGCUCCUUGGUGAUUCAUAAUAACUUAACGAAUCGCAUGGCCUUGUGCCGGCGAUGGUUCAUUCAAAUUUCUGCCCUAUCAACUUUCGAUGGUAGGAUAGUGGCCUACCAUGGUUUCAACGGGUAACGGGGAAUUAGGGUUCUAUUCCGGAGAGGGAGCCUGAGAAACGGCUACCACAUCCAAGGAAGGCAGCAGGCGCGCAAAUUACCCAAUCCCGACACGGGGAGGUAGUGACAAUAAAUACUGAUACAGGGCUCUUUUGGGUCUUGUAAUUGGAAUGAGUACAAUUUAAAUCCCUUAACGAGGAACAAUUGGAGGGCAAGUCUGGUGCCAGCAGCCGCGGUAAUUCCAGCUCCAAUAGCGUAUAUUAAAGUUGUUGCAGUUAAAAAGCUCGUAGUUGAACCUUGGGCCUGGUUGGCCGGUCCGCCUCACCGCGUGCACUGGUCCGACCGGGUCUUUCCUUCUGGGGAGCCGCAUGCCCUUCACUGGGUGUGUC
rnacentral:rRNA from 1 species